rnacentral:rRNA from 1 species
GUAGACUACGACGUUGAUAGGCAGGGUGUGUAAGCGUUGUGAGGCGUUGAGCUAACCUGUACUAAUUGCCCGUGAGGCUUAACCAUACAACACCCAAGGGGUUU